rnacentral:tRNA from 1 species
GCGUCCGUAGCUCAGUGGUAGAGCGAUUGUCUUAUACACAAUUGGUCGGUGGUUCGAACCCAUCCGGACGCA